rnacentral:tRNA from 1 species
GCCAGUGUGGCUCAGUGGAUAGAGCAUUGUGAAGGGUCCCGGGUUCAAUUCCCGGUCGGGGCA